CUUAAAAAGAAUGAGGCAACAGGUAAGUGGACAAUGGCACAUUCUAAUAUGGAUUCCUCCUUUGUAGAGUCUCCUUACAUACAUCAUGAAGAGUUCUUCUUCCUUUGAAUAGAGAACAUGAAGUUGCCUAAGUAACAAAAAUGUUUUAUGAGAUGCUUUUUGGAAAGGAAUAGGACCUUCCUCACUUAAAGCUUUCUGAAACUUUGUGGAUUAUACCUCACAAAUGACCUGCAGCGUAGUCUAUCUAAUUUUCUCCAUAUCCUGAUGGUCACUUCAUGGAAUGGCUACUCAUCCAGCUAUGUAGUCUUACACAGGAUGGGUUUUUUUUCCCCCGCAGUUUACUCAAACAGUACACAAUUGGAUUGUCUCUGAAUUGGAAGUUCCUUUUUCAGGAAGAGUAA
rnacentral:lncRNA from 1 species